UGAGAUACCACCACUCUUACUGUUGCCUUACUUACAUGAUUGGGUGGAACAAGUGCGGGACGUGUCUCUUGGUUCCGACGUGCGCGCUCCCCCCGGCCUCGGUCGGUGGCGGUUGUCGUUGCCGUCGAGCCGGACCGACCCAAUGCACCGUGUUUCUAGUUCAACGUUCAGCUACGUCGUCGCAUGGCCCUGGCACGCACGUGGAGCGGUGGCAACAAUGCGGCCGGUUGCGGUGGAAACGCCGCGCCGGAUGCAGUACGCCCCGUACCGCUUAACCGGGCGGCCCGCGACACCAAAGACAUCUGGACAGAUCUUUAUAUCCAAGUCAUGGACAUUGCCAGGUGCGGAGUUUGACUGGGGCGGUACAUCUCCAAAACGAUAACGGAGGUGUCCAAAGGUCAGCUCAGUGUGGACAGAAA
rnacentral:rRNA from 1 species